GAGGAGGAUGGAGGAAGUUGUGGCCAGCUGGUAAAGCAGCGAGGAGGUUCUAUGGACAGGAAGGUGAAAGUGUCAGUCGCUCAGUCCUGUCUGACUUUUUGCGACCUCCUGGACUGUACCCUGCCAAGCUCCUCUGUCCCUGAAAUCCUCCAGGCAAGAAUGCUGGAGUGGGUAGCCAUUCGCUUCUCCAGGGGAUCUUCCCAACCCAGGGAUCUAACCCCGAGUCUCCUGCAUUGCUGGCAGAUUCUUUACUACCUCAGCCACCAGAGAAGCCCCACUAUGGCCAUGAGGCCCCUACUUUGAACUCUGUCGUCUUCCGAGAAGAAUAAGGACUCCUCUCUCUUGAUAAAAUUUGGUCCCAGCACUCUGAGGCUCAGAGGUUAAGUUAACCUGCCCACAACCACACAACUAGUAAACGGGAAUACACCAGGAAUCCAACUCAACUGUACAUGACAGCAACUUACUUCUAGUUCUUCACAGCCUCACUACAGACGAUUGUGCUGAACUCAGUUGACUAACAAUCUUUGCUGCUGCUGCUAAGUCG
ensembl:lncRNA